rnacentral:rRNA from 1 species
CAAUAGCGUAUAUUAAAGCUGUUGCGGUUAAAAAGCUCGUAGUUGGAUUUCUGUCAAGGACGACUGGUCCGCCCUCCGGGUGAGCACAUAGUUUGGUCUUGGCAUCUUGCUGGAAGCUGUGCUGUGCUUGGCUGUACGGUACAGGGUCCAGCACUUUCACUUUGAGGAAAUUGGAGUGUUUCAAGCAGGCACAUGCCUUUGGACACAGUAGCAUGGAAUAAUUUGAUUGGGCUUCUGCUCCAAUUUGUCGGUUUCUGGAGCUGAGGUUAGAAUUAAUGGGGAUUGUUGGGGGCAUCCGAAUUUAGCCGUCAGAGGUGAAAUUCUUGGAUUUGUUAAAGACGGACUACUGCGAAAGCAUUUGCCAAGGAUGUUUUCAUUGA